UAUCGUGUAGGCUCUAGGGCGCUAGAAACAGAAGGGGUAGCCGGUCCCUUCCGCAUCCUAGCUGUUUUCCCCGCUGAGGGUCUGAUCACUGCCGCUCUCAGGCACCUGUCUUUCCUCUCCGUCCGGGAAUGGAGCCAAGAAAAGGGAAUAAAAGAAAUUAAAUAGUACAAGGAGAUCGGGUGUCUGAGCAGCGUCUUGGAUAAAACCUUCCACUACAGACCUAUCAUGUCCUUGUAAAACAACUCACCAGCAUCCAGAAGUUUCCUCACACGCAAAUAGCUGAUGGUAAGCCUCAUAACAGAAGCCUUAUCAAGAUGCGAGCUUACAUUAUGGGGGAGUGGCAACUGAUGAGCAAGCUCAUAAAAAACUUCAGACUCUUUACUUCGACGAGAUCUGGCUGCAUCUCUAGACUUCUCUUUUCGACGUUCAGAACUUAUCCUAUUUAACCAAAAAGGAGCAGGAGAGGAAAAAAAGACAAAUUUAAACGUCAGUUUGCCGUUGCUUGAAUAAAAUUCAUUUUACAUUUUUCUGUUUACCACGAAAAGAUUAGAAGAUGCCACAUAACUAUAUAAAGAUUUAUCCUACUACAUAAAUGUAUUUUUACAAGACAGCUAUACAAUUUUUUGGAUUACUGUAGACAAAAGGAACUCUCACAUGAAGUCCAAAAUAAAGCUCUUCAUCUCUCCAAACCAAGUGUUUCCUCCCUGGCACAUCAAAUUGGAGAGGAUGUUUUUGAUUUGGCCAAAACCUUACAAGUAGCCUGUAUAUCUAAAGCUGUACUUUCACAGCCAUUCACAAGUAGUCUUAGAGCUUUCUUACUUUCUCCCCUACCACACGAGCAAUACAGACUAUAAGCUAUAGGAAUUUACAUUAGCAUCUAUAAUCAGCUACUGUUUUCAGGUUGCUUACUCCCUUAGCAGUCCCUUAUCUUUACUGAUACAAAAGGUACCAUCCCUUAGCAGUCCCUUAUCUUUACUGAUACAAAAGGUACCAAAUAAAUGCAGGGGUAUGGAAAAAAAAAAAGAUGUGGCACAAUACUAAAAAUUUAAGAGAACAGGCCAAGAAAGAUUACUGGUGAAGAUGCAUGCAUGUGUGCUCAGUCGUGUCCGACCCUUUGUGACCCCAUGGACUGUAGCCCAUCAGGCUCCUCUGACCAUGGGAUUUUUCCAGGCAAGAAUAUUGGAGUGAGUUGCCAUUUCCUUCUCCACGGGAUCUUCCUGAUCCAGGAAUCAAACUUGAGUCUCCUGCAUUGGCAGGUGGAUUCUUUACCACUGAGCCACCUGGGAAACCCAAGAAAAUUACUGAGGAUGUCAAUAUAAUUAUGUAUCUUUAGGCAACUCUUCCAAGAAUAAAACCAGUUAGAAAGAUUUUCUUAAGUCAUCCAAGCAGAACCAUCUUUCUUUGCGUCACUGUAGCAUUAUCUAUUCCUCCUGACCCAGCUGAAGGUAGACAAGGCUAACCUGUUUCUGGCCUUAGCUGCUUCUUUAGUAGCUAUUGUUUAUUAAUACCUACUACAUGUCAAAUAUUAUCCUGUACUACUUCUCUCAAAACAAUCUGUAAAUAGAUUAAAUAUUAUCCCUAUUUUAUAUAUUAGGAAUCUGGGAUUCAUUAGGUUAAAAAUAGCCAUGCUGUAGCAGACAGGAUUUGAAUGUAGGUGUUUUCUUAUUUACGUCUCUGCUCUUCCACAAGGCUUUAUCUUCUUAAUGCUGAAUGUGGCUUCUACCUCAAAUAGCUGCUCUCCUAUGACCCUCAACCUAAUCCAAUUAAGUCAAUUAUUUAUUAAAUGUUGAAAAUAACCAUUAUCAUUUACUAAGCACUGAGCAGUAUGUUAAGGAUCUUCCCAGCAUUAUUUCAGUUAAUCUUCCUUAUAUUCUACGAACUAAGUAUAUAAUUGCUUCCAGGUAAAUCUCUUCACCCUCCAGCCAUCUGCAAAGCUACAAAGAUUCAAUCACAGAAGUAACAUUCCCCAAAACAAGCAAGGUCCUCCUUCUCAGAGUAUGCUCCUGUUAAGCUGUAUAAUAAAAAGUGAAAUUCUAGCAUCUGCCUUGUGACAACAGUGGUGAUAGAGCUUUAGCACUUGCUCAAGUUUGUGUGCUCAUCUGACUUUUAUACUUUCAUAAGGCAUGUGAAUAUUUGCUAUUAUUAGUAAGUGAACUUUGAUGCAAAAAGUUCAAUUCAAGCAUCUAGAUCAAUUUAACUUGAGUAUCUCGAGAUUGAAGGUGAGCUAUUAAAAAUACUACUACUUAUAACUUGGUAUUUGUGAAUCAGGAUUAUCUCAAUGCUGUAGAAUUU